CCUCUACCUGUUGAGACCAACACUGCUGAGUAACCAAACUCCAAUAAGCAGAUCGCUGCCAACCAUCCGGCCCAGUGGACAGCAGCAAACUAUUCAACCAGUGGGUUGAACAGCGGAUUGGUUUUCUCUUGCGGUGUUCCAGAUCAAUGGGAUUCUGCUUCAUUUGGUGGUCACAUUCCUUUUUGGUUUCAUGUGAGAAGAAGAAGCUAUAGAUUUCAUGAGUGGCCCAUUAAGGUUCUCAUCAAUCAUUGGAUCACAGGCUGAGACCCUCUUCUGUGGCUGAUGGCUGGCGUUGGAUCUAAAGUACCUCUCUCUUCCUGGAGCUGUCCAAAAGACACACACACACAGGACCCAUAGCAACACACGGAGAGAUGUCAGAGUGGAG